rnacentral:rRNA from 1 species
GAUGAACGCUGGCGGCGUGCCUAAUACAUGCAAGUCGAGCGAACGGACGAGAAGCUUGCUUUUCUGAUGUUAGCGGCGGACGGGUGAGUAACACGUGGAUAACCUACCUAUAAGACUGGGAUAACUUCGGGAAACCGGAGCUAAUACCGGAUAAUAUUUUGAACCGCAUGGUUCAAAAGUGAAAGACGGUCUUGCUGUCACUUAUAGAUGGAUCCGCGCUGCAUUAGCUAGUUGGUAAGGUAACGGCUUACCAAGGCAACGAUGCAUAGCCGACCUGAGAGGGUGAUCGGCCACACUGGAACUGAGAAACGGUCCAGACUCCUACGGGAGGCAGCAGUAGGGAAUCUUCCGCAAUGGGCGAAAGCCUGACGGAGCAAAGCCGCGUGAGUGAUGAAGGUCUUCGGAUCGUAAAACUCUGUUAUUAGGGAAGAACAUAUGUGUAAGUAACUGUGCACAUCUUGACGGUACCUAAUCAGAAAGCCACGGCUAACUACGUG